rfam:Hordeum vulgare subsp. vulgare, WGS project CAJW01000000 data, contig: morex_contig_2549547
CAUUUACUCCCUUCGAAAAUACUUGUGAGAUAAAUGAAAAGAAAUGGAUGUAUCUAGAACUAAAAUACGUCUAGAUACAUCCAUUUUCUCGACAAGUAUUUCUGAAUGGAGAGAGUACUUG